GGGAUGCCCAUCUUUUACUGUGAAAAAAUUAGAAUGUUCAAAGUAGGCUUACGCCGUUGAAUAUAUUAGCAUGGAAUAACACUAUAUGACUUUGGAUCUAUUUUGUUGGUUUGCGCUCCGAAGUAAUGAUUAACAGGGACAGUUGGGGGUAUUAAUAUUGCCUUGUCAGAGGUGAAAUUCUUGGAUUUUGGCAAGAUUAACUACUGCGAAAGCAUUUACCAAGGAUGUUUUCAUUAAUCAAGAACGAAAGUUAGGGGAUCGAAGAUGAUUAGAUACCAUCGUAGUCUUAACCAUAAACGUU
rnacentral:rRNA from 1 species